GCCAGCUGCAGUGGUGUGCGUCUGUAGUCUUGAUACUUUGGGAGGCCGAGGUGGGAGGAUUGCUUGAGGACAGGAAUUUGAGACCAGCCGGGGCAACAUAGCAAGACCCCAUCUCUGCCAAAAAAAAAAAAAAAAAAGAGUCAGGAGGAUUGCUUGAGCCCAGGAGUUCUGGGCUAUUGUGAACUAGGUGAUCGGGCGUCUGCACUAAGUUUGGCAUCAAUAUGGUGAUGUUUUGGGAGCAGGGACCACCAGGUUGCCUAAGGUGUCUGAGGAGGGGUUUCCAGGUUGGAAACGGAGCAGUUCGACACCCCCGAGCUGAUCAGUAGUGCGACUGCUCCUGUGAGUAGCCGCUGCACUCCAGCUUGGGCAGCAUAGCGCCACCCCACUU
rnacentral:SRP_RNA from 1 species